GGUGGCGGUGGCAGACAGAUGAGGUGGUGCAGGCGCCGUUUUCUUCUUCUUUUGACCUGUUCCACUUUUGUAUCGCUUCAUAUUGAUUCUUCUUCUUCUCUUGUGAUGUUCCUCGUUGUGUCAUUCGGGGGCCAAAGUGUGCCAUAUAUUGUUGGUAUUCUUAUUCGCCUUAGCUUAUGACAUCAUCUAUUUUUAAAGGUCAAAAAGGGGAUCAUAGGGUUCUAAUGAGUAUUUCCUUAGAUUCAUGGUACAGAAGCAGGGUCAAACUACCACCAGAGACAUUAAGCUACCUCUGGAAAUGCCCAAAACUCAUAGGAAAGCCUUGUCAAAUAUGUGAACUUGGGCGACGAAAUGUUUUAAAAUACGAGUUAAUUGGGUUCUAAUGAGUGUUUCUUUAGAUUCAUGCUACAGAAGCAAGGUCAAACUACCACCAGAGACAUUAAGCUACCUCAGGAAAUGCCCACAACUCAUAGGAAAGCCUUGUCAAAUAUGUGAACUUGGGCGACGAAAUGUUUUAAAAUAUGAGUUAAUUGGGUUCUAUAGAUUCAUGGUACAGAAGUAGGGUCAGACUACCACCAGAGACAUUAAGCUACUUCUGGAAAUGCCCAAAACUCAUAGGAAAGCCUUGUCAAAUAUAUGAACUUGGACGACGGAAUGUUUUAAAAUACGAUCAGCCUCUCGAGCGGGAAAGGAAAAACUCGAGAAUCGCACCCAACUCCGGUGAUUGACUUACAGUGUUGAUACAGUGGAACCUCACUAUACAGCCUGGGGGGAUAACAGAUAAAUUAACUUGUCUGUAAUGAAGUAAGUCCAUCACUCGAGGGCCAUAAUACACCUCAGCCCCCUUCCAGUGGUGCCCCCUCGAUCCAGCCGUGGGGGAAAUGGAUAACUCUAGAAUUGCACCCAACUCUACUAUUACUAUACAGCCUGGGGGAAUAACAGAUAAAUUAACUUGUCUGUAAUGAAAUAAGUCCAUCACUCGAGGGCCAUAAUACACCUCAGCCCCCUUCCUGUGGUGACCCCUCAAUCCACCCAUGGGGGAAAGGGAUAACUUCAGAAUUGCACCCAACCUGGUUGAAGAUGCGACCAUUGUAAGCCAACAUGUCACAAGAGAUCAAAUUCAUCGCAGGUGUUUUGAGACCAUGUUGCUGCACCAUGAGACUCUUUAAAGACUGGCAGCGGUAAGCUUCACUAUAAUGGGGCAGUGCUGUAAAUUUCACUUUGUGCAGUAUGGCAAGAUGACUGCUGCUGUGUGGCGGAUGGUAUUUCUACUUCAAAAAGCAUAUCAUAAAUUGAUCUCUUUAGAAUAAUUUUUUCCUGGUCCCAUGAGACGUGAGGCAGGCACUGGAACCGAGCCUAAAGUUGCCUCAUGGCUCAAGGCUUUCACAGCGUGUGUCCGUGCCAUGGGCCAUUACAGCUGUACCCACACAAAGAGGACAGAGAAGGCUCAUAAAACAUAAAUAAGUUUGGUCAGGGAGUUGUCUUGAUACUUCCCCCUUCAAAGUGUUCAAAUCUUUGGAAGGAGGAAUUACAGGAGUCCUUGAUGAUGGUGUCUUAGCAAAAGCUUCCUCUCCGAACAAGCACUGAGAGACAUAUCAUCAUCACAAUGGAGGUCACCCAACAGUUUGCAUGUCACAAAUGCCAACAAAUGUUUGGAGAAAAGAGUGAAUUGAUCCACCACACACUGACCCACGUGGGUGUCAAGGUAUUCCGCUGUGAAGACUGUGGCAGACUGUUCAGCUGUGCAAGUCAGCUCGAAACACACAUCGUCACACACACGGGGGAGCGGAGGUUUGGGUGUAACACCUGCGGGAAGCGUUACACCACAAAACCAAACCUCAGGCGCCACAUGGAUGUACACAACAAGAUUAAGACAUACAAGUGUAAUGAGUGUGGGAAGGAUUUUACUUAUAAAAGCACCCUCCUCCACCAUGCCAAGCUUCACACAGGCCUGAGGCAGCACAAGUGUGAGGAGUGUGGGAAGGAGUUCAUCCAGAAAUAUCACCUUGACGAGCACCGUAACCUUCACACCAGGCUAAAUAAAUACGAGUGCGAGAAGUGUGGAAAGGUAUUCAGGUACAAGACUGGUCUGAUCAAACACUUGGAGGCGCACAGCAAGAUUAAGAAGUACAAGUGUGAUGAUUGUGGGAAGGAUUUCAUGUACAAAAGCAGUCUCCUCAAACGUGCCAAGCUUCACAUGGGCCUCAAUAAGUCAGUGAAAGUGUGAGCAGUGUGGGAAGGAGUUCAUCCAGAAAUAUCACCUUGAUGAGCCCCGUGACCUUCACUGGAGGCCAGCCUUUGAUAAAUACAACUGUGAGAAGUGCUGGAAAGUAUUCAGCCACAAAACCAGUGUGGGAAGUGUUUAAAAGAAUAAGAUUUAUUAUGCAUAACAUAUAUUCAUCCAUUUGAGUGAUAGGAUGCUCUUUAAAUGUUAGGAAUAUGGUAAAAACUUUUCUAACAAAGAGAAACAACCUAAAGAAUCACAAAAAUCGAGGAGGGUGAUGUUUGAAACUCUGAGUACUACGAAGUGUCUGCCAAUAACUUGUUGACUAGUGUGUGUGUGUGCACACCAAACACCAACUCCAGCAUAUGUACACACAGCAGUGCAGGUGAACCUUAAGGUCAAAGGUUUGGAUAAUGGCAUGUUUAGAAGUGUGACAGGCCUGGGAUCUGUGGUGCACAGUAUACCCUUGGCUGUGUGUGAAGUGUGUGGGAAGCUUCCUCCAUGAGGAGUGCUGUGUAGACUCCUGUCAAAGCUGAUCUCUUGUACACAUAGGCUGGCCAUUUUAGAAUUUCCAAAUAAGGACAAUGAAAAAGAAUUACCAAAAUAAAACAUCAAACGUGUUUAAUUAUAAUUUGUGAUAUAUAAAGGUAUUAAGUUUGAUAUGCUAGUUUUACAUUCUAUUUUGUGAGGUAUGCAUACAUACCUAUGUACAACUCACCAAGGAUAACAUGAAAAUAUGUACAAGCACUUAUUAUCCAAUAUGGUGCUGACUUGUUACUCCUACACUGGUUCUGUUGAUAAGGAUGGAAGUAAGAAUAUGGAAUGUAUGCAGCAAAAAGAUAUAUUAUUAAAAUUAGGAAAAUUAAAUAACCAUGGAUAAUUUUCUUAUCUAAACUCCAGGUCUAAAAUCAAUUAACAGCCCUUUUCCUUUUCUACAUGAUAUGCUACUUUAUAAAAAUUAAAUAUAAACACACAGCAUUUACAUGUUAAUGGGCUCUUAAUUGUUCCUGUUUCUAGUGUCAUUAAAAAAACCUACAGCAGGGCUACUCAACUGUUAUAAGCAAAGGUGCAGUUAGACAAGUUCAAAUGUAUGCACAGGUCCAGACAAAUAGUGUAGCUGGAUCCCAGGCCCCAGGAGUAGAAAAUAUAAUUAAAUAACAAAGUUCCUGGCAAUGGAUUUUUGCAAGUGUAUUUCCUUGACUGACUGUUGGCCCUACAGUUAUUCCAGGGUCCAGCUGCAACUCUCAGAAGGUCCAGAUUUGGACUGCAGGCUGCCAGUUGAGUAGUCCUGCCCAACAGGCACUGAUAAUUGAGCCUAUAAAAUACACCCAUCAAUGCAAAACUAUGCAAGACCAAUGACUAACCCAAGUGUCUGCCUUGAUGAAUAUUCUAUUGUGCUGAAAAUAAUGGACUGCAUGGCUACAGGCACCAAACACUGUGUUAAAGUAGGGCACUCAAGGAGGCCAGACUUCUACCAAGAAGACCAGAACUCUGAUCACAUAGCUCGUGCAGUUUCUACACAUCCUAAUCAACAAUGUCUUCCCUUGCAUGUGUAUCCCCAGUUAUGCAUGACAAAAUUUUACCCAAAGAUUAUCAGCAUCAUUCAUUGUCAGUUAUUGUUGGAUUUUAUCGGAAUGGGGCCGAAUCCGCUCCCCAGAAAGUGGAAAAACACUUCCAGUACCAACUCUUUGUUCAGUUUUGACCAAAAGUUAUCCAAAAUUGAAUUAUUUCUCCCCUGGUUGAUGGUACACCUUUUAACUUUUAUCAAGUUUAACAAAUGAAGGACUGCCCCACUCAAGCAAAAAAGUCGUUCAAGCACCCACCCACAGCUCACAUUUUUAUCUUUCUUACAAUUUUAUGGGCUAUUCCUUGGCUGAUAAUACACCUAUCCUGAGUGAAUAAUUAAGUUUUGAGUAAUACUGCUUUUUGACCAACAAACAGAUGAAGGAUAUGGUUUAGCAAUCUGAGAACUCCAUCAAACUGAGCUCUGCCUGUGUGUGUGGAUCCGAGCGGCAGAGUGGCAUGAGCUGUCGCUACAGGAUGUCCACAUGGGUGUGUACAUACUAGUCAUGUAUCGGAUAUCUGCAUCCACAUCCGGAUCCACGGAACAUCCGCAUAAUUUUUCACAUCUGCAUCCGCAAUUUAAAAAAAUGAAACAUCCGCAUCUGCAUUUGUGAUGAAUUAAAUAUCCGCAUCCGCAUCUGCACCACACACAAACAGGAUGUGGCGGAUAUACUUUAAACAUUACAGAGUUACAGACUCAGUGCAGACAACCGAGUACAGUUUGCAAAGUUGAAGAAAAUGAAUUAAUGCAUGUUUACUUAAUUAUAUACUAAAAUUACACCUUGUAUUCUUUUUGUGAAAUUUACCCAACUUAAUGUGUCAAAAGUUUUGCGGAAGGGUAGGAGGUGGGAGAUCAUUUUACAUAAUGACUAUGUAGUAUGUGUGUUUCAUAUAAAUUUGUAAAGGUAUGUAUGUAUGUACUGUGUAAUAGUACUGUAUGUACUAUAUGUAAUAUUGCGUAAGUAUGAAUGGAAGCAGCCUGCCUGGCAAGGAGAGAGAGAGAGAGAGAGAGAGAGAGAGAGAGA